AGAUUCUUUUGGUGUUUCCAUUUUAAGAAUAAACAUGGACGCCGUGUCCAAGUUUCAAGAAAUGUGUGUCCGUGGUCCUUGAUAAUGACGUCACAGCACCGGGUUUCUUGGGAAAGAAGAGACCGAUGACUAGCUCAGUCAACGCUUCGAAGAAGUGAGUUAUCGUAACGUUUUUUCGUGCUUGGCUGACGGACUUCUUGCGGUUUGUGGACGAAUACCUGCUCUCCGAGAAGGUAGAAAAGUCUGUAACGGUUAACCAUACGUUUAGAAGAUUGUGGAUUGAAGGCUGAGCUUCGGUAAAUGGUGGUGACUCGACCGGCUUCUGCGCUGGCGAAGUUGCAUUACGGCUUUCGUGAAGUCUCAACAUAAGGAAAUUACAUAACGAGAAAAGGAAGUGAAAAUUCAUUAGCCAGCUUUACCUUCUCAAGCUACACACUGACAUGGUUUGGUUUAAUGAACCCCAGAUUUUUGUUUCCUUUACAGGAUGGUGACGGGAGUUCUUUAAGAGAGUGUGAUGUGGUGUUUGUGAAUCUUGUUCGUUGCUUUGGCCCCUCAAUAGCUUUUAAAUAAGAUAUGGUGGCUUACUAUAACUUAAAAAAAA